GCCUCCAUCCCCCUCAUACUGCCACACCACCUGGAACAUGCCUGAUCCAGAAAAGUAAGUAGGGUCAAGUUUUAUUAAUACUCGUAUGGGAGACCACCUGGGAAUACUAAGUGCUGGAGGCU
rnacentral:rRNA from 1 species